rnacentral:rRNA from 1 species
GUGGGGAAUAUUGCACAAUGGGGGAAACCCUGAUGCAGCCAUGCCGCGUGUGUGAAGAAGGCCUUCGGGUUGUAAAGCACUUUCAGCGAGGAGGAAAGGUUGUUGGCUAAUACCCAACAGCUGUGACGUUACUCGCAGAAGAAGCACCGGCUAACUCCGUGCCAGCAGCCGCGGUAAUACGGAGGGUGCAAGCGUUAAUCGGAAUUACUGGGCGUAAAGCGCACGCAGGCGGUUGGAUAAGUUAGAUGUGAAAGCCCCGGGCUCAACCUGGGAAUUGCAUUUAAAACUGUCCAGCUAGAGUCUUGUAGAGGGGGGUAGAAUUCCAGGUGUAGCGGUGAAAUGCGUAGAGAUCUGGAGGAAUACCGGUGGCGAAGGCGGCCCCCUGGACAAAGACUGACGCUCAGGUGCGAAAGCGUGGGGAGCAA